GCAAGGGAUAGUGGGAAAAAUACCAGUGUUGGAACUACACAGAGUUUGAUUUAUAUCGCAAAGCGAAUUUUGCAAGUUUGGGGCUCUCCAAUGAAAAUUUUGCUGAGAAAAGACUUUGCUGACUUUCCCAGAAGCAGCUGAAUGCUUAGGAAGUGCGAUGGGUUCAAGGAGCCUGGAGUGGCAGAGACAGCCAUGAAAUAGCUCCAAUAGCAUCAUCCCACCAAGUAUUCUAUUGCUCAACCAAGAGAUUUAAUUGGAAAAUAAGAAAUUCCUGGAAUACACUACUUGCCUAAAGCUUUUUCCAUCUAGAGUCAGUGCUUGAGGCUCAAAGGGUACAGGACCAUGAGUUUAAGAACUCUACGAGCUGUAAAAUGAUCUGCCCUAAGGUGUUUGCCUUCAGAAGCUCUGCCAUGCUAUGUUUGCCUGGAAAAACUUGUCUUAAAGCUUAAUUAAAGAUAGCAUCCUGACAGAUCAAAGAUGUGGUUCACAGUCCUUUUAUGUUCAGCAGAAGAUCGUGGAGGCAGAAGAAGGUAAAGUAACUGGAGGAGAUGAUCAUGGCUGAGAUGUUUCUAACGGGGCACGGACACCUUGAGCUAUCCUUACCUCUCAAGGGAAGAGUAGACCAGGUAGCCUUGGAACCCACGGAACAGCAGGUGCACUGCCCCACAUCAUCAGAUUCCUGAGUGAGGAAAAGAAGAUGAGCAGAACAAGUUGAGAAAGUUGACCUAGGAAACCUCUCCCCCAAUAUUUGUGUUAACUUUAUUA